UUUGGUUGUUGUUUCCUUUGUUUAUUUUCUGGGUGGGGGGAGAGCUCACAUGCCACAGCAUACACGCAGCAGUCAGAGGACAGAUUCGUGUAGUUGGAUCUCUCCUCCACCUCCUCACGGGUUCCAGAGAUGGAUCCCAGGUUGCCAGGCUUACCCGGCAUCUCCAUUCCCUGAUUCUGGAAGGAACUUCCCCUGAUUCUUCUUAAUUACCAGCAGAGAAGAAAUUCAAGAUGCCUAGGGCAAAGGUCAAACUCCACCUGUUUUCCUUGCACUGCGUUUUCUGGCAGUUCCCACAAUAGGGCAGAUAAGUAAAAGAUUAAGGCAAUCUUUUCUAAUUAAAGUAAUUAAAAAGCG